rnacentral:rRNA from 1 species
GACGAACGCUGGCGGCGUGCUUAACACAUGCAAGUCGAGCGGUAAGGCCCUUCGGGUACGACGAGCGGCGAACGGGUGAGUAACACGUGGGUGACCUGCCUCUAGCUCUGGGAUAAGCCUGGGAAACGUGGGUCUAAUACCGGAUAUGACUCCACGGCGCAUGUUGUGGGGUGGAAAGCCUUGUGCGGCUAGAGAUGGGCCCGCGGCCUAUCAGCUUGUUGGUGGGGUGAUGGCCUACCAAGGCGACGACGGGUAGCCGGCCUGAGAGGGCGACCGGCCACACUGGGACUGAGACACGGCCCAGACUCC